rnacentral:rRNA from 1 species
GAUGAACGCUAGCGGCAGGCCUAACACAUGCAAGUCGAGGGGUAGAACACUUCGGUGUUUGAGACCGGCGCACGGGUGCGUAACGCGUAUGCAAUCUACCUUGUACAGGGGGAUAGCCCAGAGAAAUUUGGAUUAAUACCCCAUAGUAUUUUUGACCGGCAUCGGUUGAUUAUUAAAGUUCCAACGGUACAAGAUGAGCAUGCGUCCCAUUAGCUAGUUGGUGUGGUAACGGCACACCAAGGCAACGAUGGGUAGGGGUCCUGAGAGGGAGAUCCCCCACACUGGUACUGAGACACGGACCAGACUCCUACGGGAGGCAGCAGUGAGGAAUAUUGGUCAAUGGGCGCAAGCCUGAACCAGCCAUGCCGCGUGCAGGAUGACGGUCCUAUGGAUUGUAAACUGCUUUUGUACAGGAAGAAACACUCCCUCGUGAGGGAGCUUGACGGUACUGUAAGAAUAAGGAUCGGCUAACUCCGUGCCAGCAGCCGCGGUAAUAC